rnacentral:rRNA from 1 species
CAGCAGCCGCGGUAAUACAGAGGGUGCGAGCGUUAAUCGGAUUUACUGGGCGUAAAGCGCACGUAGGCGGAUAUUUAAGUCAGGGGUGAAAUCCCGCAGCUCAACUGCGGAACUGCCUUUGAUACUGGGUAUCUUGAGUAUGGAAGAGGUUAGUGGAAUUGCGAGUGUAGAGGUGAAAUUCGUAGAUAUUCGCAGGAACACCAGUGGCGAAGGCGGCUAACUGGUCCAUAACUGACGCUGAGGUGCGAAAGCGUGGGGAGCAAACAGGAUUAGAGACCCCGGUAGUCCCUGUCUCUUAUAC